rnacentral:rRNA from 1 species
GAUGAACGCUGGCGGCGUGCCUAAUACAUGCAAGUCGAGCGAACGGACGAGAAGCUUGCUUCUCUGAUGUUAGCGGCGGACGGGUGAGUAACACGUGGAUAACCUACCUAUAAGACUGGGAUAACUUCGGGAAACCGGAGCUAAUACCGGAUAAUAUUUUGAACCGCAUGGUUCAAAAGUGAAAGACGGUCUUGCUGUCACUUAUAGAUGGAUCCGCGCUGCAUUAGCUAGUUGGUAAGGUAACGGCUUACCAAGGCAACGAUGCAUAGCCGACCUGAGAGGGUGAUCGGCCACACUGGAACUGAGACACGGUCCAGACUCCUACGGGAGGCAGCAGUAGGGAAUCUUCCGCAAUGGGCGAAAGCCUGACGGAGCAACGCCGCGUGAGUGAUGAAGGUCUUCGGAUCGUAAAACUCUGUUAUUAGGGAAGAACAUAUGUGUAAGUAACUGUGCACAUCUUGACGGUACCUAAUCAGAAAGCCACGGCUAACUACGUGCCAGCAGCCGCGGUAAUACGUAGGUGGCAAGCGUUAUCCGGAAUUAUUGGGCGUAAAGCGCGCGUAGCGGUUUUUUAGUCUGAUGUGAAAGCCCACGGCUCAACUGUGGAGGGUCAUUGGAAACUGGAAAACUUGAGUGCAGAAGAGGAAAGUGGAAUUCCAUGUGUAGCGGUGAAAUGCGCAGAGAUAUGGAGGAACACCAGUGGCGAAGGCGACUUUCUGGUCUGUAACUGACGCUGAUGUGCGAAAGCGUGGGGAUCAAACAGGAUUAGAUACCCUGGUAGUCCACGCCGUAAACGAUGAGUGCUAAGUGUUAGGGGGUUUCCGCCCCUUAGUGCUGCAGCUAACGCAUUAAGCACUCCGCCUGGGGAGUACGACCGCAAGGUUGAAACUCAAAGGAAUUGACGGGGACCCGCACAAGCGGUGGAGCAUGUGGUUUAAUUCGAAGCAACGCGAAGAACCUUACCAAAUCUUGACAUCCUUUGACAACUCUAGAGAUAGAGCCUUCCCCUUCGGGGGACAAAGUGACAGGUGGUGCAUGGUUGUCGUCAGCUCGUGUCGUGAGAUGUUGGGUUAAGUCCCGCAACGAGCGCAACCCUUAAGCUUAGUUGCCAUCAUUAAGUUGGGCACUCUAAGUUGACUGCCGGUGACAAACCGGAGGAAGGUGGGGAUGACGUCAAAUCAUCAUGCCCCUUAUGAUUUGGGCUACACACGUGCUACAAUGGACAAUACAAAGGGCAGCGAAACCGCGAGGUCAAGCAAAUCCCAUAAAGUUGUUCUCAGUUCGGAUUGUAGUCUGCAACUCGACUACAUGAAGCUGGAAUCGCUAGUAAUCGUAGAUCAGCAUGCUACGGUGAAUACGUUCCCGGGUCU